AGGAUUCCCCCUAGUAACUGCGAGUGAAGCGGGAAAAGCUCAAAUUUAAAAUCUGGCAGUCUCUGGCUGUCCGAGUUGUAAUCUAGAGAAGUAAUGCCCGUGCUGGACCGUGUAUAAGUCUCCUGGGAUGGGGCGUCAUAGAGGGUGAGAAUCCCGUCUUUGACACGGACUACCAGUGCAUUGUGGUAUGCUCUCAAAGAGUCGAGUUGUUUGGGAAUGCAGCUCAAAAUGGGUGGUAAAUUCCAUCUAAAGCUAAAUAUUGGCGAGAGACCGAUAGCGAACAAGUACCGUGAGGGAAAGAUGAAAAGAACUUUGGAAAGAGAGUUAAACAGUACGUGAAAUUGCUGAAAGGGAAACGCUUGAAGUCAGUCGCGUUGGCCGGGAAUCAGCCUUGCUUCUGCAUGGUGUACUUUCUGGUUGACGGGUCAGCAUCAAUUUUGACCGCUGGAAAAAGGCCUGGGGAAUGUGGCAGCUUCGGCUGUGUUAUAGCCCCUAGUCGCAUACAGUGAUUGGGAUUGAGGAACUCAGCACGCCGCAAGGCCGGGUUUCGACCACGUUCGUGCUUAGGAUGCUGGCAUAAUGGCUUUAAGCGACCCGUCUUGAAACACGGACCAAGGAGUCUAACAUGCCUGCGAGUAUUUGGGUGGAAAACCCAAGUGCGUAAUGAAAGUGAAAGUUGAGAUCCCUGUCGUGGGGAGCAUCGACGCCCGGACCAGAACUUUUGGGACGGAUCCGCGGUGGAGCAUGUAUGUUGGGACCCGAAAGAUGGUGAACUAUGCCUGAAUAGGGUGAAGCCAGAGGAAACUCUGGUGGAGGCUCGUAGCGAUUCUGACGUGCAAAUCGAUCGUCAAAUUUGGGUAUAGG
rnacentral:rRNA from 1 species